UGCAGUCGAGCGAAUUUGAUGGGAGCUUGCUCCCUGAAAAUUAGCGGCGGACGGGUGAGUAACACGUGGGCAACCUACCUGUAAGCCUGGGAUAACUUCGGGAAACCGGAGCUAAUACCGGAUAAUUUCUUUCUUCACAUGGAGAGAGGUUGAAAGACGGCUUUGCUGUCACUUACAGAUGGGCCCGCGGCGCAUUAGCUAGUUGGUGAGGUAACGGCUCACCAAGGCCACGAUGCGUAGCCGACCUGAGAGGGUGAUCGGCCACACUGGGACUGAGACACGGCCCAGACUCCUACGGGAGGCAGCAGUAGGGAAUCUUCCGCAAUGGACGAAAGUCUGACGGAGCAACGCCGCGUGAGUGAAGAAGGUCUUCGGAUCGUAAAACUCUGUUAUCAGGGAAGAACAAGUACCGGAGUUACUGCCGGUACCUUGACGGUACCUGACCAGAAAGCCACGGCUAACUACGUGCCAGCAGCCGCGGUAAUACGUAGGUGGCAAGCGUUGUCCGGAAUUAUUGGGCGUAAAGCGCGCGCAGGCGGUUCUUUAAGUCUGAUGUGAAAUCUUGCGGCUCAACCGUGAGCGGUCAUUGGAAACUGGAGAACUUGAGUGCAGAAGAGAAGAGCGGAAUUCCACGUGUAGCGGUGAAAUGCGUAGAGAUGUGGAGGAACACCAGUGGCGAANGCGGCUCUUUGGUCUGUAACUGACGCUGANGCGCGAAAGCGUGGGGAGCGAACAGGNNUAGAUACCCUGGUAGUCCACGCCGU
rnacentral:rRNA from 1 species